UACGAAGGGUGCAAGCGUUAAUCGGAAUUACUGGGCGUAAAGCGUGCGCAGGCGGUUCGUUGUGUCGGCGGUGAAAGCCCCGGGCUCAACCUGGGAAUGGCCGUUGAAACUGGCGAACUGGAGUGUGGCAGAGGGGGGUGGAAUUCCGCGUGUAGCAGUGAAAUGCGUAGAGAUGCGGAGGAACACCUAUGGCGAAGGCAGCCCCCUGGGCUGACACUGACGCUCAGGCACGAAAGCGUGGGGAGCAAACAGG
rnacentral:rRNA from 1 species